CAAGUCGAACGAGAUCUUCGGAUCUAGUGGCGGACGGGUGAGUAACACGUUGGUACCUACCCCUAAGUGGGGAAUAACUGCCCGAAAGGGUGGCUAAUACCGCAUAAUCCCGCAAGGGUAAAGCAGUAAUGCGCUUAGGGAGGGGCCUGCGUCUGAUUAGCUAGUUGGUGAGGUAAUUGCUCACCAAGGCGACGAUCAGUAGCUGGAUCGAGAGGUUGACCAGCCACACUGGGACUGAGAUACGGCCCAGACUCCUACGGGAGGCAGCAGUAAGGAAUCUUCCACAAUGGACGAAAGUCUGAUGGAGCAACACCGCGUGCAGGAUGACGGCCUUAGGGUUGUAAACUGCUUUUAUAUGGGAAGAUUAUGACGGUACCAUAUGAAUAAGGACCGGCUAACUACGUGCCAGCAGCCGCGGUAAUACGUAGGGUCCAAGCGUUAUCCGGAAUCACUGGGCGUAAAGCGUGCGUAGGUGGCGUGUUAAGUGUGAUGUUAAAUCGUGUGGCUCAACCAUAUCGAUGUGUCGCAUACUGGCAUGCUAGAGGGAAGCAGAGGCAAGUGGAAUUUGUAGUGUAGCAGUGAAAUGCGUAGAUAUUACAAGGAACACCAAUGGCGAAGGCAGCUUGCUGGGCUUCUUCUGACACUGAGGUACGAAAGCGUGGGGAGCGAACAGGAUUAGAUACCCUGGUAGUCCACGCCGUAAACGAUGCAUACUAGUCUUAUGGGGUAUCGACCCCCUGUGAGACGCAGCUAACGCGAUAAGUAUGCCGCCUGGGAAGUACGGCCGCAAGGCUAAAACUCAAAGGAAUUGACGGGGACCCGCACAAGCAGAGGAUGAUGUGGUUUAAUAUGACGCUACGCGUAGAACCUUACCAAGGCUUGACAUCCUAGGAACCUUCUGGAAAC
rnacentral:rRNA from 1 species